UUAUAUAUUUUGUUUAUAUAUUUUAACGUAUAUUAAUAUAUUUAAAUAUAAUUUACGGAUUUCAGAAAUGAAUAUGUAAUUAAAAUAUAAUUAUUUUAUUUCAUUUUGAAUACUUUUAAUGAUUUACGAAAUCAAAAUGUAUAUUUGAAUUUUACGUUAAAACGAUUUCGAAUUACGAAACCACGUUCUAUUGAAAUUAGAAAGCAAUACUAAACAUUGUGGAUUCAUCAACCUAAAUACUACUCCUAGCCCAAUUGGGCAAAGCCCAAACCAAUAAACCCAACUAAAUACUCCCUCCUCUUCUCUACUCUUACGUGAAACCAAAAGAAGAAAAAAAAAAAAAAAAAAAGAGAAACCCUCCUUCAAUUCACGCACAACUCAGCCAUCUCUCCUUCCUCCCCUCCACGCCGUCGCCCACUGCCGGACCACCACCUGCACCGACGACCACCGUCGACCCUCGUGCACCACCUUUGCGCCUAGCCGCGCCGCUGAGCCACCGCCUUCGCCGCCGCCUCCGCGAGUCUCUUCGCCACCCGCACAACACCACCUUCGUCAGCUCAAUCGACCGUCGCUGCCGCGCCGCAAAGUCUACCGCCGGCCAGCCUCCUCCUCAUUCUCUCCUUGUGGUGGAGAAUUCUCCGUAGGCGACUUUUGAAUUAUUAAAGUGGUCUUGCAGUUUGUUUACACAAG